rnacentral:rRNA from 1 species
AUUGAACGCUGGCGGCCUGCCUUACACAUGCAAGUCGAACGGCAGCACGGGAGCAAUCCUGGUGGCGAGUGGCGAACGGGUGAGUAAUAUAUCGGAACGUGCCCAGUCGUGGGGGAUAACGCAGCGAAAGCUGUGCUAAUACCGCAUACGAUCUACGGAUGAAAGCGGGGGAUCGCAAGACCUCGCGCGCUUGGAGCGGCCGAUAUCAGAUUAGCUAGUUGGUGAGGUAAAGGCUCACCAAGGCGACGAUCUGUAGCUGGUCUGAGAGGACGACCAGCCACACUGGAACUGAGACACGGUCCAGACUCCUACGGGAGGCAGCAGUGGGGAAUUUUGGACAAUGGGCGAAAGCCUGAUCCAGCAAUGCCGCGUGCAGGAUGAAGGCCUUCGGGUUGUAAACUGCUUUUGUACGGAACGAAACGGUGAGCUCUAAUACAGUUUGCUAAUGACGGUACCGUAAGAAUAAGCACCGGCUAACUACGUGCCAGCCGCCGCCGUAA